AUGAGCUCAAAUCGUAGAGCUUCAAAAGCUCGAAAAUCAACAACUAAUUACUACCGGCUUCCAUUUGAUAAGCACCGAUUAUUUGAUCCAGAUGCAUUUCUUUCAAAGGAUCGUUGUGCCAAUCAAUCACAAAGUACUCAAUCAGGCAGCAGACAUACUGAUAAACUAUUCACUACUCCUCAGUUAGUAUCUGCAUUGACAGGGAUCUGGAAUCUUGUUGGGCACCCAGAAUCUUCUGGCACAACAGAUCAAAGAUCUGUGAGCGAGGAUAUUUUGCACACGGAAGACCCUGUGUGCUUUACUAGGGACCGAGAAGGACACACAUUGACAUCUUGCAGCGAAAGCUCAACUGGCCUCAACUCUCAAACCUGUUUAUCAACACCAAAAUCAAUCCAUGAAGAUCUUAGAUUGCUGAAGAAGAUGUUAAUGCUCCGAUCACGCAGCAACAUGAUCGGUGCUUCUGCCACAUGGAGACAUAUGCAUCUUACCAGUAAACUUGGGAACAUGCAUUAUCAAAAUAUAUACCCCAUGCAAACCAAAAAGCUAGGAGCUUGUGCUACUUCCAGCAGUAUGGAAAUCAAGGAGGGCGACUGCUUCGGAAGGGGUGAUAACUGUUGCAAUCAAACAGGAGACAUGCCAGCUGAACAAUGCACGAGCUCAAGUGAGGAGGAUAAUAUCACGUAUGCCUGUGAAAAUUCUCUACACGAUGAGAAAUUAAACACAGAGGUUUCUAGAGAAUACUCCAAUAUGUCUGCUUGUUCAUCAGAGCAGGUUUGCAAAGAGGCAAGGAUAAUGCUGGAAAAUCAGAUUUCCAGCACAUGUGAACAUAUUCGGCCUGAAGGGUUGACAUGCACAUCUUGUGUGGUUGGUGAUGCUAUUGUUAACCCACCAAAUGUACACCAAUAUACAUACGGGGAAGAUGUAUCUCAGCAGCAUUUUGUAGACAAGCGUUCAUCAGAGUUUGAAUCAUCCUUGGGGCAUCGAUUUCAUGGUCCUGUUGGUGCGAACAAGCAUGCUGCUGCAGGAGCACUAGCUGGGACAGUUGUCAGUAUCUCUCUGCAUCCAGUUGAUACGGUGAAAACCAUUAUUCAGGCUAACAGUUCUGGGCAAAGCUCAUUCUACCACAUACUAAGACGCACCCUUGUUGAGAGAGGUGUCUUAGGACUUUAUGGAGGGCUUGCUAGCAAAAUUGCUUGUUCUGCACCAAUUUCAGCUAUUUAUACCCUAACUUACGAAAUAGUAAAGGGGUCACUUCUUCCUACUUUGCCGAAGGACUACCAUUCCAUUGCUCAUUGUGCUGCGGGUGGUUGUUCUAGUAUUGCAACCUCCUUUAUUUUUACACCAAGCGAAUGCAUAAAACAACAGAUGCAAGUCGGCUCGCAGUAUCAGAAUUGCUGGAAGGCUUUAGUUGGAUGUCUACAAAGGGGUGGCAUUGCUUCGUUAUAUGCUGGAUGGGGGGCUGUUCUUUGCAGAAAUAUUCCACAUUCUAUAGUAAAGUUUUAUGCCUACGAGAGUCUGAAGCAAUUUCUGUUGAAUGCAUCACCUGCUAAUGCUAAACUCAAUUCUGGCCAGACGCUCAUUUGUGGAGGUUUUGCAGGAUCAACUGCUGCUCUGUUUACAAAUCCAUUCGAUGUUGUGAAGACACGAGUACAGUUACAGGCUCUCAGCCCUGUUAGAAAGUAUGAAGGGGUUCUUCAUGCCCUUGCGCACAUUUUUGAGCAAGAAGGGUUACGAGGUCUUUACAGGGGUUUAAGCCCAAGGCUGCUCAUGUAUGUAUCCCAAGGGGCGCUGUUUUUUACAUCCUAUGAGUUUCUCAAAACAAUUAUGUUUCCUGAACAAGAGCUUCAGGCAAACAACAUCUGA
rnacentral:rRNA from 1 species